GAAGCUUCACCACAGGUGACUCAGAGUCUUGUAUUUAUGUUUUGCAAAGAGGUUUUGCACGUGAUUCUAGUAGAAGUGGAUCAGCUUGGUGUAUACAAGAAGUGACUUAACAUAUAGAUAAAGACAGGCGCUGUAAGUUCUAGGUCAAAUAUGUUUUGUUGAAGCUUUAAGAUCGUAAGAAGACUCGAUGAUAUCACCCUAAAGUGCAG
rnacentral:lncRNA from 1 species